GGGGGAUAAUGGGGAAACCAUUGCCAUAGCGAGCACUUGUCAAAAACCAUUCUUUCGAACUUUUAAGGCGAGGGCCCUGGGUUCGAGUCCCAGCCGGCUCACCA
rnacentral:tRNA from 1 species